rnacentral:misc_RNA from 1 species
AACGCACCUUGCGCCCCUUGGUAUUCCGAGGGGCAUGCCUGUUUGAGUGUCAUUAAGACUCAACCCCCCUGGUUUAUGAUCGGGAAGGGUUGGAUAUGGGCGCUGCCGAUUGCCGGCUCGCCUUAAAUGUCUUAGCGGCUUAGAAGCCCUGACCUAGCGUAAUAAGUUUCGCUGGAGAGGGUGUGGACGACUGCUUACAAUCGCCUUUGGGCAACUUUUUGACUCUGGCCUCAAAUCAGGUAGGACUACCCGCUGAACUUAA